rnacentral:rRNA from 1 species
UACGGGGGGGGCAAGCGUUGUUCGGAAUCACUGGGCGUAAAGCGCACGUAGGCGGAUUGUUAAGUCAGAGGUGAAAUCCUGGAGCUCAACUCCAGAACUGCCUUUGAUACUGAGGAUCUUGAGUUCGGGAGAGGUGAGUGGAACUGCGAGUGUAGAGGUGAAAUUCGUAGAUAUUCGCAAGAACACCAGUGGCGAAGGCGGCUCACUGGCCCGAUACUGACGCUGAGGCACGAAAGCGUGGGGAGCAAACAGG